AAGUCGAGCGAGUCUGCCUUGAAGAUCGGAGUGCUUGCACUCUGUGAAACAAGAUACAGGCUAGCGGCGGACGGGUGAGUAACACGUGGGUAACCUGCCCAAGAGAUCGGGAUAACACCUGGAAACAGAUGCUAAUACCGGAUAAUAACAGAUGAUGCCUAUCAACUGUUUAAAAAGAUGGUUCUGCUAUCACUCUUGGAUGGACCUGCGGUGCAUUAGCUAGUUGGUAGGGGUAACGGGCCUACCAAGGCGAUGAUGCAUAGCCCGAGUUGAGAGACUGAUCGGGCCACAUUGGGGACUGAGACACGGGGCCCAAACUCCUACGGGGGGAGGGCAGCAGGUAGGGGGAAUCUUCCACAAUGGACGAAAGUCUGAUGGAGCAACGCCGCGUGAGUGAAGAAGGUUUUCGGAUCGUAAAGCUCUGUUGUUGGUGAAGAAGGAUAGAGGUAGUAACUGGCCUUUAUUUGACGGUAAUCAACCAGAAAGUCACGGCUAACUACGUGCCAGCAGCCGGUAAU
rnacentral:rRNA from 1 species